CAGUCGAACGAGGCUUCGGCCUUAGUGGCGCACGGGUGCGUAACGCGUGGGAAUCUGCCCCUUGGUUCGGAAUAACAGUUGGAAACGACUGCUAAUACCGGAUGACGACGUAAGUCCAAAGAUUUAUCGCCGAGGGAUGAGCCCGCGUAGGAUUAGCUAGUUGGUGUGGUAAAGGCGCACCAAGGCGACGAUCCUUAGCUGGUCUGAGAGGAUGAUCAGCCACACUGGGACUGAGACACGGCCCAGACUCCUACGGGAGGCAGCAGUGGGGAAUAUUGGACAAUGGGCGAAAGCCUGAUCCAGCAAUGCCGCGUGAGUGAUGAAGGCCUUAGGGUUGUAAAGCUCUUUUACCCGGGAUGAUAAUGACAGUACCGGGAGAAUAAGCUCCGGCUAACUCCGUGCCAGCAGCCGCGGUAAUACGGAGGGAGCUAGCGUUAUUCGGAAUUACUGGGCGUAAAGCGCACGUAGGCGGCUUUGUAAGUUAGAGGUGAAAGCCUGGAGCUCAACUCCAGAAUUGCCUUUAAGACUGCAUCGCUUGAAUCCAGGAGAGGUGAGUGGAAUUCCGAGUGUAGAGGUGAAAUUCGUAGAUAUUUCGGAAGAACACCAGUGGCGAAG
rnacentral:rRNA from 1 species